CAGUACCACACAAAAGCCUGAUGAAUUGACACUAUCACUUGAAAUUAGUGUAUGUGAAUCUCUCACACUACUAAGUUGUUUACUGAUCACAACGUUCGGCCUGAAAUUUGCUUUGUUCAUUGUUUCCGCCGACUACUUGCUACGUCUCUCGUCACUCCUGGAACUGCGAGAACACUUCUCAAAUAUUUUGACUGAAUUUGUGACAACGGCGAAAAGUAGAGAAGUAUAAGAGGGAGAAGUUGUCGACCCAGAGAGAAACUUACGAAGUACUCAGUUUCCAAGUAAAGAACUUGAACCACUAAAGAUCGCGGAACUGCACAGUGAUUCCCCAGUUUCCAUACCCAGGAUAUCGACAGGAAAGAGGAUCCCGACUGUUGAGAUAAUUGAACCUAAUAACGGGAAUGGACGUGGUCACGAGGAACAUUUUUUGGCGCAAACUCUUUGAAGUUUCGUUGCUCAUGUGUUUGAUGAUAGGGCAAUGCUGAGAGUCAUGAAAUGUUCGCGGUGUAGGAUUCGCUCAACAAGUGAACCUCACGUGGAGGGUCAGAUUUAUAAUCUGGUGAAGUGUGAGGACUGCUUUGAGAGCAUAGGUCACACCUCGAAACGCAUGUGGGCUCCGGCAGGCUCCUGGGAGCGUCUUCUGUUAAGCUUGGGUUCCGAAGUUCUGGUCCGUUGUUUGAUUGCGUGCGCCUGAUUGAUGCCUUAAUAUGUAGACGAAACAAUACCAGCAGACUCAAAUGCGCGAGACAGAAUCAGAAGCGUUGCAUUUUUGGUUAGACAUGCGGCGUUUGGAUUUGUCUGCGCACAGAGGAGGAUGAAACGUCAUCUAUUCAUUUUAACCAAUUGCAGCAGAAUGGAGUGGUGGAGAUGCGUGGUGAGAGGAGAACAUGAGAAGUGUUGGACAUUUUCAUCGCAACUCUCAAUCUACCCUAAUAGUCACGUACAGCUUGAAACAAUAAUAGCGUCUGUUUUCCGUUGAACAAUUAUUUUAUUCGGAUCAUUCAAGAUCCCUUAACCUCAAAUCACAAAGCUGAGGGAUAUGUGAUCCAAAUUGCACCCCUAAACUUCGAUUUAUUUUAGAAUCCUUCAGAUUCUGAAAACUGGCUUGACCCUGAUCACAGCAUCCUUUGCGAGGUCUUCCCCUUCAAGACCUCGGAGGUGUUGGCACGAAAGAAUGAGAAAUCCAGGAGAUUCUUGCUUAUCCAAAAAAAUGCCUUGCAGUGAACUCUCCCGACUAAGUCCGCCUUUUAAGUUAAUGGAAAGCUCGUUUUCAGGAGGAACAAUGCAGUGCCGACCUUGGAUGAUACCGUUGUCAAGUUUUGUUUAAUAAACGAUAACAUUGAGCUUCACUUUGAAGAGGUUAACUCCACGAUAUCUACGUCAUAUAUUCUCGGAGUAAGAGCUUGUUGCCUACCACGCAUUCCAACUACUACAGCUGUCCGUGUUAUUAGAAACAAGUUCUCUUCUAAAAUCAAAACCUCCAAAGGCCUUCGAAUCAAUUAGCAGCCUGCGAAUCGGCGCAAGCUCAAAAUAUCAAUAUGAAAGAUUCUAAUUUCCCCCGUCCUCUAAAUCUGUAAGAGUACAUCAAAUUUAGUCGUCUCGAAGACAAGAAUCACCUUAUCGUGCCUCUGAAUGCGCAUAAAUUGCAGACUUUCGUUUCUCCGAUUGCUCGCUUGGAAGAUGACUUGUUCCAGGGCCAAGCAUUACAAACUCCAGUUCCUUUCAGACGAAUCAAGUUGCUGCAGCCACUGCCUGAAUUCACAUUAGGUGAAACUCGUGAAUAGCUAGAUUCAUGGAAUGGGUCCGUAAAAAAGAAAGAAUUAGGAAAAUGGUGUACGGAUGUUCAGAAAUUAACUAGGAUGGAGCAUUUGGUGACUGGUUUCUGACAGCAAAUUGGGGUUUCAUGGCUGGCAAUUCUCAGAUUUCC